GACGAACGCUGGCGGCGCGCCUAACACAUGCAAGUCGAACGAGCGGGAGAGAGCUUGCUUUCUUGCUCGAGUGGCGAACGGGUGAGUAACACGUGAGGAACCUGCCUCGAACAUCGGGACAACAGUGGGAAACUACUGCUAAUACCGCAUAGGCCCACUUUUCCGCAUGGCACGGGGGAAAAAUGUGCAGUCUGCGUUGAGAUGGCCUCCCGUCCGAUUAGCGGGGUGGUGAGGUAACGGCCCACCAAGGCGACGAUCGGUAGCUGGAGUGAGAGGGUGAACGGUCACACUGGGACUCAGCCCCGACCCCGACUCCUACGAGAGGCAGGGGUGGGGAAUAUAGGGGAGUGGGCGAAAUGCUGAUACAGCGAGGCGGGGUGGAGGAAGAAGGUGUUGGGAUCGUAAAUCGCUGUUGUUGGGGAAGAUAAUGACGGUACCCAACAAGGAAGUGACGGCUAACUACGUG
rnacentral:rRNA from 1 species